rnacentral:rRNA from 1 species
CAGCCGCCGCGGGAAUACGAAGGGUGCAAGCGUUAAUCGGAAUUACUGGGCGUAAAGCGUGCGUAGGCGGUUUUUUAAGUCUGUUGUGAAAUCCCCGGGCUCAACCUGGGAAUGGCAAUGGAUACUGGCAAGCUAGAGUGUGUCAGAGGAUGGUGGAAUUCCCGGUGUAGCGGUGAAAUGCGUAGAGAUCGGGAGGAACAUCAGCGGCGAAGGCGGCUUACUGGCUCAUACUGGACGCUGAGGUGCGAAAGCGUGGGGAGCAAACAGGAUUAGAUACCCCGGUAGUCCCUGUCUCUUAUAC